UGCCAGCAGCCGCGGUAACACGUAGGGUGCAAGCGUUGUCCGGAUUUAUUGGGUUUAAAGGGUGCGCAGGCGGUAGAUUAAGUUCGUGGUGAAAUCGUCCCGCUUAACGGGAUACCCGCCAUGGAUACUGGUUUACUUGAGUGUGUCUGAGGGAGUUAGAAUGCGUGGUGUAGCGGUGAAAUGCAUAGAUAUCACGCAGAAUACCAAUUGCGAAGGCAGACUUCUAAGACAUAACUGACGCUGAGGCACGAAAGCGUGGGGAGCGAACAGGAUUAGAUA
rnacentral:rRNA from 1 species